GCGGCAAUACUCAAGAGGUAAAGAGGGCUGAUUGCUAAUCAGUUAGGCGGCUUUUAGUCGUGUGAAGGUUCGAAUCCUUCUUGCCGCG
rnacentral:tRNA from 1 species